GACGAACGCUGGCGGCGUGCUUAACACAUGCAAGUCGAACGGAAACGCCCUGCUUUCGUGGGGUGCUCGAGUGGCGAACGCGUGAGUAACACGUGAGUAACCUGCCCUUGACUUUGGGAUAACUUCAGGAAACUGGGGCUAAUACCGUAUCGGAUCUCCUGCUGCAUUGUGGGGGUUGGAAAGUUUAGGCGGUUGGGGAUGGACUCGCGGCUUAUCAGCUUGUUGGUUGGGUAGUGGCUUACCAAGGCUUUGACGGGUCGCCGGCCUGAGAGGGUGACCGGGCACAUGGGGACUGAGAUACGGCGCAGACUGGUACGGGAGGCAGCAGUGGGGAGUAUUGCACAGUGGGCGGAAGCGUGAUGCAGCAACGCCGCGUGCGGGAUGACGGCCUUCGGGUUGUAAACCGCUUUAGCCUGUGACGAAGCGUGUGUGACGGUAAUGGGUAAAGAAGCACCGGCUAACUACGUG
rnacentral:rRNA from 1 species